UAAAGCAGAGAGUUUCGCCUUUUUGUAAAUGUUUUGAGAUUUCGGAGGAAAGCGUGGAGAUUUCGAAGUAGGGGGAUUAAAAAAGGAACAUAUGGAGAGGUCAAAUGAUUGGUGGCGAGCAAUGAGAUUUCAUGGAGCAACCCUCCUUUGGAAAGAGCUACUUCAGAAUUAUGAACAAAGCAACAGGAUAUACAGUUGUGAUUCAAUAAAAUUCUACAGACAUC